CGAGCGGUAACAGGGGAAGCUUGCUUCCCGCUGACGAGCGGCGGACGGGUGAGUAAUGCUUAGGAAUCUGCCCAGUAGUGGGGGAUAGCCCGGGGAAACCCGGAUUAAUACCGCAUACGUCCUACGGGAGAAAGCAGGGGAUCUUCGGACCUUGCGCUAUUGGAUGAGCCUAAGUCGGAUUAGCUAGUUGGUGGGGUAAAGGCCUACCAAGGCGACGAUCCGUAGCUGGUCUGAGAGGAUGAUCAGCCACAUCGGGACUGAGACACGGCCCGAACUCCUACGGGAGGCAGCAGUGGGGAAUAUUGGACAAUGGGGGCAACCCUGAUCCAGCCAUGCCGCGUGUGUGAAGAAGGCUUUCGGGUUGUAAAGCACUUUCAGUAGGGAGGAGAACCUUAUGGCUAAUACCCAUGAAGCUUG
rnacentral:rRNA from 1 species